rnacentral:misc_RNA from 1 species
GCUGAUGAAAAUGAGCGGAUAAGGUAUCACAAUUUUAAAUCAAUAACUUCUUGUGCUCUUCUUUUGACCUGGUGAUAGUUGUUUUGCCAUUCUUUAUAUGGCCAAUUGACCACAGAAAUAAAAUAUUGCAUAGUGCCAUUUGAUAGUUUGGUAGCGAUUGUUAUCUGAUAAUGAUCCCCAUUGAGACACUGGUUUUCUAAUUUUUUUUUUCCCAAACUUCUGACAUGUUAAUUUUUGUAAUGUUUUCUGCAUGUUGCCUUGGGCAUCUGCCAUCUGGUAAGAACCCAAAAGUUUAAGGGAUUCAUAAUUGAUUUAGCCUUAAUUACUUUUUGCUUCUCAGGGUAUGGAAUUAUG